CAGUAGCCGCGGUAAAACGAAGGGUGCAAGCGUUAAUCGGAAUUACUGGGCGUAAAGCGUGCGUAGGCGGUUUGUUAAGUCUGCUGUGAAAUCCCCGGGCUCAACCUGGGAAUGGCAGUGGAUACUGGCAAGCUAGAGUGUGUCAGAGGAUGGUGGAAUUCCCGGUGUAGCGGUGAAAUGCGUAGAGAUCGGGAGGAACAUCAGUGGCGAAGGCGGCCAUCUGGGACAACACUGACGCUGAGGCACGAAAGCGUGGGGAGCAAACAGGAUUAGAUACCCCAGUAGUCCCUGUCUCUUAUAA
rnacentral:rRNA from 1 species